UGGCAUUGGUUUGCUCAAGAAGAGUGUGGCCAAGUGUGGAACUUCAACUAGGCCAUAGUGGCUUGCCAACAUGCGGGCUUGCUUGUUGUGACUUUGCUUGUCGAAUUGUAGUCUGUAGAACGGACCAGGCUCAAGUCCCCUGGAAAGAGGCGCCAAAGAGGGUGAGAGCCCUGUUGAGCUCAGACCCUACUGCACUACGAGGCAUUCUUAGUGAGUUGGGAUGUUUGGGAAUGCAGCCUAAUCGGAUGGUAAAUUCAGUCCAAGGCUAAAUAUGGGCGAGAAAUCGAUAGCAAACAUGUACCACAAGGGAAGGAUGAAAAGGACUUUGAAAAGAGGGUUAAAGAGUGCUCGAAAUUUUAGAGAGGGAAGCGGAUGGAGGUCGGCGAUGUGCCCCAGUCGAAUGUAGAACGGCAUGAGCCAAUUUAUUGCUCAGCUUGGGGUGCAUGCCAGCGCGAGCUAUUGCAGUGGCACAAAUGUGGCCUUUUGAUCGCAUUGUACCUUAGUUGCGGCGGUUGAGGAGCGAAGUGCACGCCUACUGAGGCGAGCAAUUGCGCACUCGUCGCGUUCGUCCGACCCGUCUUGAAACACAGAUCAAGGAGCCUAACAUGUGUGCGAGAUGGCAAAUUGAGAAGCCCGCAAGGUGCAAGGAAGCUGAUUGGCGAGAUCCCCUCUCAAGGGUGCACCACUGAUUGACCCUGAUCUUUUGUGAAGGGUUCGAAUUUGAGCACACCUAUCGGGACCCAAGAGAUGGUGAACUAUGCUUGAGUAGGACGAAGCCAGAAGAAACUUUGGUGGAGGCCCACAACGAUAUUGAUGUGCAAAUCGUUUGUCUAACUUGGGUAUAGGGGCUAAAGACUAAUCCAACUGUCUAGUAGUUGGUUUCCUUCAAAGUUUCCUUUGGGAUAGAUGAAGCUCAUGUGUGAGUUCUUUCGAGUAAAGAUAAUGAUUAGAGGCAUUGGGGGUGUAAUGCCCUCGACCUAUUCACAAACUUUAAAUAGGUAAGGCGAUGUGGCUUUUCCAUUGAGCCACGCCAUGAAAUUGUGAGCUCCAUGUGGGCCAUAUUUGGUAAUAAUAACUGGUGAUGCAAGAUGAAUAGAAAUCCAAGUUACGAUGCCAAAUUGUGCACUAAUCCAAAUCCCACAAAGAGUGUUGGUUGAUUAAGACAACAAGAUGAUGGUCAUGGAAGUCAAAAUUCGCCAAGGAGUGUAACAAAUCACUUGCUGAAUCAACUAGUCUCGAAAAUGAAUGGCGUUGAAGCGCACAACCUAUACUUGGUUGUCAGAGGCAAGUGCUAGGCUUCGAUGAGUAGGGCUCGAGGUUUGUUGCAAAACCUUGGGUGUGAGCCUAAGUGGAUAUGCCCCGAUGUAGAUGUUGGUGGUAGUAGCAAAUAUUCAAAUGAAAACUUUGAAGAUUGAAGUGGGGAAAGGUUCCAUGUGAACAACACUUGGACAUAGGUUAGUCGAUCCUAAGAGAUGGGGAAGCCCUGUUUCAAGGGCACACUUUACGCGAUCAUGGAAAGGGAAUCAAGUUAAUAUUCUCGAACCAAGACAUGGGGUGGACAACAACAUUAGGAAAUCUAGAGAUGUUGGUGAGGGCCCUGGGAGGAGUUAUUCUUUAUUUUUAAUGGCCUACUUACCCUAAAAUCAGUUCUACUAGAGAUAGGGUCCAAUGACUAGAAGAGCACCACACAACAUGCGGUGUCUGGUGUGCCUUUAGCAACCCUUGAAAAUCUGAAGGACCGAGUACUGUUUAUGUCUGGUCGUACUCAUAACUGCAUUAAGUUUCCAAGGUGAAUAGCCUCUGGUCAAUAGAAGAAUAUAGGUAAGGGAAGUCGGCAAAAUGGAUCCAUAACUUUAGGAAAAGGAUUGGCUUUGAGGGUUGGACAUAGGGGUCUACUACCCAAACCCAUGGAUUGUUGGCGGCCUACCCAAGUUGCUCUCAUAGCGAGGGCAGAUUGUCGUGUGUCGAUUGGGCGAUGGAUGCAAGAUGGUCCCUUAAAGGGGCUUUCUCUAGGUGGCAAAACGCUAACUCAGAACUAGUACGGACAAGGGGAAUCUGGCUGUCUAAUUAAAACAAAGCAUUGCGAUGGUACCUACAGAUGCUGACGUAAUGUGAUUUUCAAGCGUGGGUAAACGACGGAGGUAACUAUUAAUCUCUUAAGGUAGCCAAAUGCCUCGUCAUCUAAUUAGUGACGCGCAUGAAUGGAUUAAUGAGAUUCCUGUUGUCCCUAUCUACUAUCUAGCAAAACCAUAGCCAAGGGAAUGGGCUUGGCGGAAUUAGUGGGGAAAGAAGACCCUAUUGAGCUUGACUCUAUUCUUUGUGAAAUGACUUGAGAGGUGUAGAUUAAGUGGGAGUUGUUUCGACUCAAGUGAAAUACCACUACUUUCAACAUUAUUUUAUUUAUUCUGUGACCCAGAGACGAGACAAUCCCCCUGUUUUUGGCCUUAAGGUGUGUCUAGGGGUACCGAUUGUGGUGGAAGACAUUGUCAGGUGGGGAGUUUGGUUGGGGUGGCACAUCUGUUAAAAGAUAACACAGGUGUCCUAAGAUGAGCUCAAUGGGAACAAAAACCUUGUGCGGAAUAAAAGGGUAAAAGCUCAUUUGAUUUUCAUUUUAGUAUGAUUACAAACUGUGAAAGCGUGGCCUAUUGAUACUUUAGACUUUUGGGAUUUGAAGCUAGAGGCAUCAGAAAAGUUACCACAGGGACAACUGGCUUGUGGCAGCCAAGUGUUAAUAGUGACGUUGCUUUUUGAUCCUUCGAUCUCGACUCUUAUCAUUGUGAAGCAUAAUUCACCAAGUGUUGGAUUGUUGACCCAUGAAUAGGGAAUGUGAGCUAGGUUUAAAUCGUCGUGGGACAAGUUUUAUUUAUCCUAUUGAUGAUCCACACCGCAAUAGUAAUUCAACUUAGGACAAGAGGAACCGUUGAUUCACACAUUUGGUCAUUACGCUUGGGUGAAAAGCCAGUGGCACGAAGCUAUCAUGUGUUGGAUUAUGAGUGAACACCUCUAAGUCAAAAUCCAUGCUAGAUGCAGGGCAUCUCUCUCUGGUUGCAUCACAACCUACAAUAGGGGUGCUCUUGUGCCCCCCAAGGGCUCGUGUCAUUGGCUAUCUUCAAUUGGCAUAAUGGUUUGGUUAGAGCAACCUUGGAUAACAAUUUCAAGCAGUCGACGACAAGAAUCUUUUACAUAUGACUUAAAUAAGCAAUGGGGUAUUGUAAGGGGUAGAGUGGCCCUACUGCUAUGAUCCAUUGAGAUUCAGCCCUUUGUCGCCUUGAUCCGU